rnacentral:lncRNA from 1 species
AGGUGGUACAUAGAACAGACAAAUUCUACUUCCAUGAAAACUAUUUUAUAAUUGUGUAUUCACAUUAAUGAUCUCAUGGCUGAAUCCAUCCAAUUCAACAAGUGUAUGUUGGCCAAGAUCUACUACCUUCCAAGCACUCUCCUAGGUGUUGUGUUAGAUGUAUACACAAAAGAUAAAACUUAGUCUGCAAAUUACCAUAAGUAGUGUUGCUUUGAACCAUAGACAUUUAUUCUCUCACAGUUCUGGAGGCUGGAAGUUCGAAGCCCAGUUGUUUGCAGAGUUGGCUCCCCCUAGAGGCCCGGAGGGAGAACCUGUGCUCUGCGGCUCUGCUCUGUGCUUCUGGUGGCUUGCAGACACAUGGCUCCAAUCCGGCCUCAGUCUUCACACGACGCCCUCCCUGUAUUGGCUGUGUCUUCACAUCCUCUCCUCUAAGUGUACCUUUGUGUCCACAUUUCCCUCUUCAUGUAAGAAAACUGGCCACUGGAUAAGGGUCCUCCCUAAUAAGGUAUGGUCUCAUCUUAACUUGAUUACCUCUCCCAAGAUUUUAUUUCCAAAUAAGGUCACAUUCGCAGGCGCGAGGAGUAGAACUUGUACCUAUCUUUUUGUGUGACACAAUUCAACCUAUGCUAGAACUCUUCAGGAUGGUGAUAAUGGGAAAAGGUGCCCUUUACAUAACACCGUGUGCCAGGCAUGCCUCCACCUCAUGUGUUAUCCGUCUAAUCCUCAUGACAAUCCCAAAAAGUAAGCAAAUUAUCCUCCUACUCAUUCCACAGACAGGGAAGGCUAAAGAGAUAAAGCAACUUUCCCAAGGUUACAUAGCCAGCCUCUUAACCACUACGCCACACUGCCUCUUAGAGCUUGUAGAGAAGAGGUCGAUUGAGUAGUAACGAUAAGAGAAGCAUAAACCAAGUAUCACGGGAGACCAGAGGAGGCUGAUGCAGCUUUAGCUAGGGACAUUAGAAUUAGGCUUUUAUUUUAUUCAAUUCAAAGGUAAACAAAUAUUGCCAGAUACCAGAGGCAGUACUAAUUUUUGAAGAUACACAAUUUAAAAAAUAAAAACAAAGGCACAGGCCCUGCUUUGAUGAAGUUUAGUCUAGAGCAGAAUAAUAAAAUACAAACAGAUAAUAUCAAUGCAAUGUCUUAAAACGUAUCAUAAACAUAUGUAGAAAUUAUGGGAAUCAUAGCAGGAAAAUGGAACUUGACAUUUUAGAGUUUCAUUAUGUCUGUGUAUUUUCCACCCUCCAAAUUAGAUUAUAAAUACCUUGAGAUCUUCCGUUUCUUUUGUAUUCAUUCAAAACAGGCUUUUACAGUUCUCCCUAUACAUAGGACACUCAGUAAAAGGGAUUAUUAAGGACGCUUGCUCAAGCAAGGAUGUAAAAAUGAUAGAGCAAACCUUGUUGUCCCCCAAAUCCUUGGCUCCCCUGGCUGGUCACCACCCCCAGGAGAACCUAGGGAGACCUGUGGGCGUUGAGCAGAAGCUCACAGUGUCCCCUCUGCCAGAGUUCUCCAGCAAACUCAUUUUGACAGGGCGUCUGGGCUGAAUCUGGGGGCACAUAAAAUUCUUGCGGCCACAGAUUUGGAAUUGCAGCUCCUUCUCGAAUGCCCACACUUCUUUCUCCUGCUUUGCUUUUCCCUGCUGAAUGGGUUACAAGUAGAUUUGGGAGUUUUUGUGAUCUGUAUGUUUAAUUUCUGUUGCCAUCUGCAUUUGGGUCUUCCUUUUCAACAAGGGACACAAAUCCAGCCACCAUCAGAAAAAGGAUACCCUCGGAUAGAAGACCCAGGGAUUCCCUGUCUUCAUGCAAAUCUGCUGAGCUCUUCCUUCAGCCUCUCUCCUGAACUGUGUUGUUUCUUUUGCGUGAUCUGGCUCUAGCGCUGGGGGAAGCAGAGCUUUGAGGCUUCCCAUAUUCCUGCCUUGGGCCACUGACAGGGACAACAGCAUCUGAUAUGUACCCUUCUACAAAAAAUCUUCUGAGCCUUCCUGAUCAGAUUAUGCCCAUCCCUGAAGCAGUGAUUGUUUCCUGCCUCUGAACCUAAUGCUCUUCUUCUUACAAGCCCUCCAAAUCUAGGCCCAAUCUGCCACUUAGUUAAAGAGUUUCAUACUCAAAACAAAACUUGGCAGAAAGUGCAGUCCAGGCAAGGUAGAGGCAUGACCUCCGCUGGCCACUUAUCAAAAAAGAAAUUGUUUUCUCCCUUCCCAGCUCUCCCUUCAGUUUGUUUCUAUUGCUCCUUUUGUCUGGGUCUUGCCUUGCUUCCACUUGUGUAAUCAGUCGGUCCACUGGGUACGGACUGUGUCUAAUUGCAUGCUGUUUGCACUGCCUAGCACAUUACAGUCCUCAAUAAACAUACUAUUAUUAUGAUUAUUGUUAUGAUCUAUCAUAACAAUAAUCGCAAUUCAGUGCACAUUUCUCUAAACUUCGGGCAGCUUGGAGAGUCAAGAACAUACACACAGUCCCCUGGAUAGCCCUAAGAGCUUUGGAUAAGGAUCUAAAUUUAAGGGGUGCAUAUCUGAGCUGCACCUCCAAACCUGCAGAGAUUGGAGGGUAAUUAUCUUCCAUCCUCAGUGGGAACAGACCAUGAGACCAUUCUCCUUCCAUGCAGAAAGGGAGAAUAAGAACCAGGCAGAGACCAGAAAAGAUAGAGAAAAGAGAAACUGUGUUAAGCUGUAGUUUUUUUCAGAGACAGCAAAGACCACAGCUAGGGCUGACCCAGUGGCAAAAAGUCUGUUCAAGCAAUGAUAAGAAAAAUCAUUUACUGGGCACAUUAACUUAAGUUGUAGGAGCCGAGCUUUCCCUGGGUUGCCCAUUGGAUAAAUGCUGUCAGGAUAUGCUGUGAGCUGCUCCAAUGAGAUGUAAUAAUUGAAUUUGUUUUCAUUUAAUUUGAGGGCCUUUAAUUAAAAGCCAGGCCUGUGUGUGCAGAGAGAUAAAGCCAGGCACAUGGAGACUGGGGGUAAUUUGGGUGCUGAAUGCAAUAAUUGUAAAUUCAGAGGUCAGGGGACUGGCACUAUCUUUGUGAAAUCAGCACAGUGAGCAGGCCAUCCGGCUGGAAUGGACUCAGGAGUGGUGGAAACACACGCUUAAGUGAUUUUUUGAAACCUUAAUCGCAAUUACAGAGUAGUGUGGAGGUUAAUUUGCAAAGUUCAUUAAUCAGAGAAAUAAAUACAUCAGUGAUCACUUGAUGGAAGACAACCUGGAAAGUCUGGUUUUCCAGCCACAAUUUCCCAAACCUCCUAUUCAGUUUUGAAAUAGUACAGAAUCCACACUGUGAUUAAUCUUGCCAACCUUUAUUCGCCUUUGAACUGCUAAGCAGUAUAUUUCUCCCCUCUAGGUCUGAGGUUAAACCCAUCCACAUGACCACUUCAAAAUAAUCCAAACAUGUCUUGGAAUGAUGGGGCUAUUAGUAUCAGAAGACAGAGUUAGAAUUAAUGCCCAAUAUUAAUCCCUGGAGUUAGGAUUAGAGGGUUAACUAGAGUCUUCAAUCUUUAGAUAUAGUUGUAAUUCAUGAUAUAAAGCAAUAAAGUAAAGGUUUUGUGCGUACAUGUGAAUUGCUGCCCUGAUAAAUGGCAUUCCAUUAGAUGCACAUUUUGUGCUUGAGAGAGCUUCAUUAUGGAAACUUAUCCCGGCAUGCAGUGGUGGAGUUUCUAGAAGGCUGCUCCCUUCCAGUCUCCCCAGCAGGGUGGAGAGAUGGGAUCCACAUCCACUCCACUACCAUCAAGCAGAAGAAUUCACAGCUGGUGAGCUCCCUGCUGCAAAAGAUGGGUUGCCACCCAAUGCAAACCCACACGUGGGUGGCACCUGUGCCCAGACAUGUUUCUGGAAGUCUCCUGCUUUCAGCUUAUUUUUCUCUGGGUUAUAAUUGCUCCCUAGAGAAAGGAGGCUGACAGGUCAGAGACUGUGGUCAGAGAGGAGGAGAGUGGACUAGGUCAGAAAGUAUCUGACAGAAUUGCCUGAUGCAUUUUUAAAAAUACCCAUGCUUUAUCCUUUCCCCAGACCUCCUGCACCAGGAUUCUCAAGGGAGUCAGGUCCCUGGUAAUUCUAAAUCACCCUCAGCUAAGAACCACUGGACUAGAUAAACUCCAAGCUCUCCCCUACAUCUGAAGUCAUGUUAUUCUGGGCCGCACUUCUGGGAGCUGUACAUCCACUGUUUGCUUAGCAAUUUGCCGUCCUAGAAUGUGCAGUAAGCCCUCUCUUAACAUCAUCAAUAGGUUCUUGAAAGCCGUGACUUUAAGUGAAACGAUGUAUAACAAAACCAAUUUU